AAACAAAAGAAAGAGAACAGGAAAUGACACCAGAUAGCAUCGCGGUCCGGAUUUGGCAUCAUCCAUCGUAUUUUCUCGCUGCUCCUUUAGGGCCUCGGCUUCUCUCGAAUGGCUAUCUCAUUCUGUACCAGUCUUCAUACAAAGGGCGCAACUCCUCUUCCAGGACCUGGACCAAGACAAUGCAAAUACACGGGUCAAUCAGUGCGAGCUCUUCCAAUUCGGAUAUUAACGGUAGGGAAAAAGCGUUCCCGUGGAGUACAAUUCGUAGUCGAUGAAUAUAUUGGGAAACUUCAGAACUAUUGCAGUGUUGAUGAUGUUCUGAUACGGUCCAAUCCAAGAAAUGCUCAUGAUUCGAGGGCUCAGGUUGACGAUGAAGACGCGGCUAUCAUGAACCUUAUCAGGCCUGACGAUUGGGUUGUGAUGCUGGAUGAAAAUGGACAAGACAUUGGGUCUGAGCAGAUGGCAGAGCUAGUUGGUGAUGCUGGGAAUACAGGCGCUUCUAGAUUAUCGUUUUGUAUAGGUGGACCUUAUGGUCAUGGACAACAAUUGCGUGAGCGAGCUAACUUAUCAAUCAGGUUGUCUACAUUAGUCUUAAAUCAUCAGAUUGCAUUGCUUGUGUUAAUGGAACAGCUGUAUCGAAUCACACUGAACAUGUUGUUACUUGGCAAGUUACUGAGGUCGGUUAAAUGGCAGAGUGCUUGCUUCAAAAUAAGAUGAUUGUCUACACCACAAAUACGCAAUUGUAUAGGUUUUAAAGUUACCAUUCUUUCGAAAUGCAGCUUGUAGCAAUUUGGAAGGCUUGGUGAGUUUUUGAAUCUCCUAUUUGAUGGCCAUGGCCGUAUCUUAGGCUGCAACAUUGUUGGCUAUCACUAUUAUUUCCAUCACUAAUCAAAACCAAAAACAAUAACCACCCUAGAAACAUUAAUAUGCGAGGCUCUUGAGAACAUGUUCUGCUAUUAAUUCAGUAGAAUAACACAUGCUUUAUUGCCUAAUUUUAGGUCAUGGACUAUUCUGAAAGGACAGAAAUACCAUCAUUAGCUAUUCUUUCACGUGAUCUAAAUCAUUAGUGACAGAGUAUGUAAUGUGGUGUGGGAUCUGAGCCGAGGAUGGUUGUGGGUUUUGGACGCAUUCAGUUGUUCAUGAAGAUUAGAC